UUAACUUAUUUAGCUAAUUGCUCAGACUGCAAUCUUCAGACAGCGUUCAAUGGUGUCUUCGGCGGGCGCGGGCCAGAGGGCAGAAGCCCCCCGGCGGCCGUGAGGCGGGCCCGCUGAAGCAACAAGGUACGAUAAACACGGGUGGGAGGUUGGACCCAGAGGGCCCUCACUCGGUAAUGAUCCUUCCGCAGGUUCACCUACGGAAA
rnacentral:misc_RNA from 1 species